GAGAGGACCGGGAUGGACGCACCUCUGGUGUACCAGGUGUUCUGCCAACGGCAUAGCUGCGUAGCUAUGGGCGGAAGGGAUAAGUGCUGAAAGCAUCUAAGCAUUAAGCCCCCCUCAAGAUGAGAUUUCCCAUAGCGUAAGCUAGUAAGAUCCCUGAAAGAUGAUCAGUUUGAUAGGUUCGAGGUGGAAGCAUGGUGACAUGUGGAGCUGACUAAUACUAAUAGAUCGAGGACUUAACCAU
rnacentral:rRNA from 1 species